rnacentral:rRNA from 1 species
UACGUAGGGGGCAAGCGUUGUCCGGAUUUAUUGGGCGUAAAGAGCGUGUAGGCGGCCUGAAAGGUCAGCUGUGAAAACUCGAGGCUCAACCUCGAGACGUCGGUUGAAACCAUCUGGCUAGAGUCCGGAAGAGGAGUGUGGAAUUCCCGGUGUAGCGGUGAAAUGCGCAGAUAUCGGAAGGAACACCGAUGGCGAAAGCAGCGUGCUGGACCUUUUCUGACGCUGAGGCGCGAAAGCCAGGGGAGCAAACGGG